rnacentral:rRNA from 1 species
CCUACGGGAGGCAGCAGUGGGGAAUAUUGGGCAAUGGAGGCAACUCUGACCCAGCCACGCCGCGUGAAUGAUGAAGGUCCUCGGAUUGUAAAGUUCUGUGAUGGGGGAUGAACACAAUGACGGUACUCCAAUAGCAAGCCACGGCUAACUACGUGCCAGCAGCCGCGGCAAUACGUAGGUGGCAAGCGUUAUCCGGAAUGACUGGGUGUAAAGGGUGCGUAGGUGGUUUAGUAAGUUGGCGGUGUAAUUCCGGGGCUCAACCUCGGCGCUACCGCCAAAACUAGUAGACUAGAGUGCGGGAGAGGUAAGUGGAAUUCGUGGUGUAGCGGUGGAAUGCGUAGAUAUUAGGAGGAACAUCAGGGGCGAAGGCGACUUACUGGACUGUAACUGACGCUGAGGCACGAAAGCGUGGGGAGCGAACAGGAUUAGAUACCCCAGUAGUC